GACGUAGGGCGCGAGCGUUGUCCGGAUUUAUUGGGCGUAAAGAGCUCGUAGGCGGCUUGUCGCGUCGAAUGUGAAAACUCGGGCUCAACUCCGAGCUUGCAUUCGAUACGGGCAGGCUAGAGUUCGGUAGGGGAGACUGAAAUUCCUGGUGUAGCGGUGAAAUGCGCAGAUAUCAGGAGGAACACCGGUGGCGAAGGCGGGUCUCUGGGCCGAUACUGACGCUGAGGAACGAAAGCCAGGGUAGCGAACGGG
rnacentral:rRNA from 1 species